rnacentral:rRNA from 1 species
AACGUAGGAGACAAACGUUAUCCGGAGUUACUGGGCGUAAAGGGCGUGUAGGUGGUUUCGUAAGUCUGGCGUGAAAUUUUUCGGCUUAACCGGGAAAGGUCGUCGGAUACUGCGGGACUGGAGGACGGUAGAGGCGUGUGGAAUUCCGGGUGUAGUGGUGAAAUGCGUAGAGAUCCGGAGGAACACCAGUGGCGAAGGCGACACGCUGGGCCGUACCUGACACUGAUGCGCGACAGCAUGGGGAGCAAACGAGG